AAGUCGUAACAAGGUUUCCGUAGGUGAACCUGCGGAAGGAUCAUUAACGAAAACGCUCAAAGGAAGGGUUGUUGCUGGCUCUUCCGGGCAUGUGCACGCUCCCUUUGAAGCUAAUUCCACCUUUAUACACCUCUGUGCAUCAUCUGUAGGGGGUCCCGUGAAGGGACAGCCUAUGUUCAUUUUUACAAACUCUGUAUUGUCAUGGAAUGUCAUCGCGUGUAACGCACAAAUAUACAACUUUCAGCAACGGAUCUCUUGGCUCUC
rnacentral:misc_RNA from 1 species